CUCCAAUAUAGUGCAUUGCCUUCUUGGCGGAGUAGGAAAGUGAGCCGGCGUCCCGGUUCUGAGUGGCUAGCGUUGGAAGCAGUGAAUAUUUCAAAAAACAUUCAUUUCUUUUUGGGAAUCGUGUUAUGAGAAAGGACUCAAUUUUCCGAUGCCCUUAGCCGUAGGGCUAAGCCUACAUUUGGUGCUGAUGAUGAGGGAGUCAGAAAGAAUGGUCCAACAGAACCGAGCUGGCCCAGCUAUGGCUGCUUCCAAGCACAAUGUGGAUCACUGAAGACAGUACUGGAAGCGCCAUUUGCAGGUACAGACUGCAGUCAUCAUUAAAUGAUCCAGAAGGUAGAAACUGCUGUUAUUGGGAGGGUGGGGGGUGGGGUGAGGGGUGGGGAGCACUUGACUGGGCAAUACUAGUAGGAGAUGAAAUGAUUAGGGAACAAUGAGGUUAUAAGAAAAAUAUCACUGCCCUUAUUUGGGUUAAACAGGUCAUGUUGAGAAGAUGGUUAUUUAAGAUAAGGGUGCUACAUUAAUCAUAUAUGCAGCAUGAAUACAUUAGAAUCAAGCUGCACCCAAUUAAGAAAAAGAAAAAUUCCCUAAGUAACCUUUAAAAGUAUGUUACCUGCCAGUCACAGAAGGGAAAAGCACCUGGGGUGAACUCCAAUUUAAUGAGGACCUUGAUCAGGACCACAAAGCCUGAAACACAUUUGUUUUAAUGCAGAAACACAGCCUCUAGUCACACUGGUUAAGUCUGGGGAAAAUUGGAGGGGUUUUUUUUGGUUUUUUUUUUACAUUUUUGUUUCAAUAACUAAGGAUUCUAAAUCUUCAACCAGCAUUAGAAUUGAACCACUUCCAAAUCCUAAGACACGUAAGACCAAAGAGAAGCAAUAGCCAUACAAAUUAAUAUGUGGCCCUCUCCUUACUGCUCUAAGGGAAUUUUCAAACCAGUAUCACAUUUAGGAAUCAAAGUGUUAAUUCUUCAGCAUUCCUGACAAUUAAAAGCACAUUCACUGAAGGCUGAAGGUGAGGAACCGGAUGGUUUAACUUUAAUAUCUGUGAAGAAUGGCUCCAAUAGAGGAAAGAAAACCAUCCAAUCUCAGUAAGGAUUAAUGCAAAUUUGGCUAGAAAAAGCCACCAGGUAUUCCAAGGGUUCACUGUGGAAGAA